UCCUGGUCAGCUCAGUUGGUAGAGCGCUCCACUGGAAAUGGAGACGUUCCUGAUUCGACACCAGGAUCAGGCA
rnacentral:tRNA from 2 species